rnacentral:rRNA from 1 species
AUCUUUUGUUUUUUAAAAAAAAACCCUACUACCCUUGCUUUAAGCGCACCCAUUGUUUCCUCGGCAGGCUUGCCUGCCAGUACGACCCUUGAAAACCCUUUGUAAUUGCAAUCAGCGUCAGAAACAAUGUAAUCGUUACAACUUUCAACAACGGAUCUCUUGGUUCUGGCAUCGAUGAAGAACGCAGCGAAAUGCGAUAAGUAGUGUGAAUUGCAGAAUUCAGUGAAUCAUCGAAUCUUUGAACGCACAUUGCGCCCCUUGGUAUUCCAUGGGGCAUGCCUGUUCGAGCGUCAUUUGUACCCUCCAGCCCUGCUGGGUAUUGGGCGUUUUGUUCCGCUACGCGCGUGAACUCGCCUCAAAUGCAUUGGCAGCCCGCCGUCCCGUGUGGGAGCGCAGCACAUUUUGCGCUCUCCGCUGCUGACGGUGGCAUCCACAAGUCUACCAUUUUGCGCUUGACCUCGGAUCAGGUAGGGAUAC